UACGGGGGGGGCAAGCGUUGUUCGGAAUUACUGGGCGUAAAGGGCUCGUAGGUGGCCAACUAAGUCAGACGUGAAAUCCCUCGGCUUAACCGGGGAACUGCGUCUGAUACUGGAUGGCUUGAGAUUGGGAGAGGGAUGCGGAAUUCCAGGUGUAGCGGUGAAAUGCGUAGAUAUCUGGAGGAACACCGGUGGCGAAGGCGCUCAUCUGGCCCAAUACCUGACGCUGAGGCGCGAAAGCUAGGGGAGCAAACGGGGAUUAAGAUGACC
rnacentral:rRNA from 1 species